GUGGGGGAUAUUGCACAAUGGGCGAAAGCCUGAUGCAGCAACGCCGCGUGAACGAUGAAGGUCUUCGGAUCGUAAAGUUCUGUUGCAGGGGAAGAUAAUGACGGUACCCUGUGAGGAAGCACCGGCUAACUACGUGCCAGCAGCCGCGGUAAUACGUAGGGUGCUAGCGUUAUCCGGAUUUACUGGGCGUAAAGGGUGCGUAGGUGGUCUUUCAAGUCGGUGGUUAAAGGCUACGGCUCAACCGUAUUAAGCCGCCGAAACUGGAAGACUUGAGUGCAGGAGAGGAAAGUGGAAUUCUCAGUGUAGCGGUGAAAUGCGUAGAUAUUGGGAAGAACACCAGUAGCGAAGGCGGCUUUCUGGACUGCAACUGACACUGAGGCACGAAAGCGUGGGUAGCAAACAGGA
rnacentral:rRNA from 1 species